rnacentral:rRNA from 1 species
UACGGGGGGAGCAAGCGUUGUUCGGAUUUACUGGGCGUAAAGGGCGCGUAGGCGGCCACCGCAAGUCAAUUGUGAAAUCUCCGGGCUUAACUCGGAAAGGUCAACUGAUACUGCGGGGCUAGAGUGCGGAAGGGGCAACUGGAAUUCUCGGUGUAGCGGUGAAAUGCGUAGAUAUCGGGAGGAGCACCAGUGGCGAAGGCGACAUCCUGGACCGGUAUUGACGCUGAGGCGCGAAAGCCAGGGGAGCAAACGGG